AUGAACGCUGGCUACAGGCUUCACACAUGCCAGUCGCGGGGAAACGACGGGGAAGCUUGCUUCCCCGGGCGUCGACCGGCGCACGGGUGAGUAACGCGUAUCCAACCUGCCUCUGACUGAGGGAUAACCCGUCGAAAGUCGGCCUAAUACCUCAUGGUAUCGUCUGCGGGCAUCCAACGACGAUUAAAGAUUUCAUCGGUCGGGGAUGGGGAUGCGUCUGAUUAGCUUGUUGGCGGGGUAACGGCCCACCAAGGCUACGAUCAGUAGGGGUUCUGAGAGGAAGGUCCCCCACAUUGGAACUGAGACACGGUCCAAACUCCUACGGGAGGCAGCAGUGAGGAAUAUUGGUCAAUGGGCGAGAGCCUGAACCAGCCAAGUAGCGUGCAGGAAGACGGCCCUAUGGGUUGUAAACUGCUUUUAUGCGGGGAUAAAGUGAGGGACGUGUCCCUCAUUGCAGGUACCGCAUGAAUAAGGACCGGCUAAUUCCGUG
rnacentral:rRNA from 1 species